rnacentral:tRNA from 1 species
ACUUGGGUGGCUUAGUGGUUGAGCGUCUGCCUUUGACGCAGGGUGUGAUCCCAGAGUCCUGGGAUCGAGUCCCAUAUCAAGCU